GCAGAGACAGGAACAAGCACAUCAUAAUGUAAAAUGCCCGAUUUCUUCACCUGGUUUAUCAAUAUUGGUAAAUUAACAUGUUUGCAGCUUAUUUAGGUCAAAAAAAAAAAAAAAGCAAAGAGAAGAGAGAGAGAAUAGACAACAUCAACAUCAACAUAAAACAUUCUCCUUCACCGCGGCCUGCAGGAUCCUGCGAGGUGUCCUGUGAUGGGCAUCUUGGGAAGCCAGUCUGACUUGGUAAGAGAACUCUUGGUUUUAUUCAAGCUUCUGUUAUAGCAUAAAGUUGCUACAAAUGGAUCAAUUCAGGCAGGAGGCAAGCCGAGUGCCACACGCCUCGGAAGGAGUCCAUCGGUUUCAGUCCAGCAAGGGCACCAGGCUCUGUCACUGGCUAAAGGAAGGAGGCACAGCAUGGAAGGAACCUCAGGGGAGGACGUGGCAGCGGUGAAAACCAAGCUCACCGAUGACCCAUCAGAUGAGUUUGUUUCCAACAAAAACAGAAUAUUCACCUUUGAAAAUCUCCAAUUAAAGACUUUUCAUGAACUACACGUUUAAAAACAGCCACCAAAAGAGAUUGCCCGACGGAAAACUCGAAGGAUUGGCUUCCCUUUGGGUCCAGACGCUUCCAAAGAUAUUACUGUUAAGCAAACUCACUUACACAAGUGCUGUGAGGGCCAGAGGUGAGCCCAGAGCACGCGACUGUCCUGCAGAAUGGGGUCAAGGUGCAGGAGCUUAGGGAGGUCCUGCUUCCUAGGGCAACAAACUUAUCAGACUUGGGAGAUGCAUAGAAGGGAGACUGAGCCAUGCCAGAGCAGCCUCUCCCUGCAGUUGAGCCUGUUCAGCUGGCAGAUGUGGGCAUGUCUCCUGUUUGUACAGAAGCAGACUCUUAGGAAAGGUGCAAAGCCAGACUCGUGACCCAGGAGCUGGCUUCCGCCAACAGGGCCACCUGAACCCUGUUCUGAUAACAAAGGAGCAGAUCAUGUGAAGCUCACAAGACUUUGGUUCCCAUUUACCGAGUUCAGCCAGCUGUGUGGGCUGCAGCGUCCAGAGGUACACUGAGCCAGAAAUGUAGCGUUUUUUCCCCCCUUGGGGAGUGGCUGGGGCUGAGUUGUUGGUUAAUAAAGGCAGCCUAGUUGGAAACAGGCUCAUGAAGAUAUGCUGCGUUUGAGGGCAAAAGGGAAGCGUACUCUGCAAAUGCCUAAGCACUGCCCUUGAUGUGAAGGCUGCAGGGACUCCUGGCUUCCAGGCUGUUCUAUCAGCACCACAGCUUUGAUCAGGCAAAUCCCUUGACCACUCUGGACCUGGGGAUUCUAUCAAUCACUAAAAUGGGUGUAAUUCCUAAGGGAAUUGUUACAGGGAGGAACACCUAAAUUUGAAGUCCUGAGUUAUUGGGAGCCAAAACCUGGACAUCCAUCUCUUCAGCUAUGUUCUGCCUCUCCAGGGUUGUGGGAGUUAUGGAGGGGAAGCUCUGCCUUUGGGUAGGGGCAAAGACUGAUAUCCAGGGUUGUGGGAGUUAUGGAGGGAAGCUCUGCCUUUGGGUAGAGGGGCAAAGACUGAGAGGACAAGCCCGUCCCUUCUUGGCAUAGAGGCUUUGGGAUGUAGGAGAGCUGAAAUCCUUGGACUCUGGACAACAGACAAGAUGUACCGUCUCAAGAACCCUUGUUCUAAUCCAAUACAGGUGAAGUCUCUGAACAAGCCUGAGGAGGUCUCUCAGCUGGGGAAAGUCCUACUUUAGUCAAUUCACAACACUAGAAAAUACAGCUCUGGUGAACUGGUUCCAGCUUUCCUUCAAGUCUUUGGAAUAAAAAUGAAUACGAAUUUUGAGGGCCAGGCAAACUGUGGAUUUGUGGGUCAAGGAACCAUAUGUGUGUGAGGACUUGAAGGGGGGCAAACUGUCUACAGAACACACAGCCCACCUCCCAGGAGCAGGGAGGACCCAGGUCGCAAAGGACUCCUCCUCCCCGAUGCUGCAGCGUCCGGCUCCUCGCCCGUUCUCUAAAGCACCUGCCCCACAAUCAACCUUCUGGGUCUGCCCUGACCACGCUGCUUGUUGGGACAUGGCAUCGAGGUCACCUGCUGCUCCAAACCUACUUUGGAAACACACACACUGGCUCGUGCCGAGGAAGCCUCUUGUUCUGUUUGAGUGGCCUCACCAGAAUAACCAUAAAAGACAGGUAACAUUUAUUCAUAAGCAAUACUGAUUAGGAAAUAGCUCUACAAACACAACUUACUUAGAAACAGCAAGUCAGAAAUAGGAUAAAACACCAAGAGAAAACGAGCUGUGAAUACAUUUCCAAAAUGUUUUUGUUUUGUUGUUUUCAUCUUGACUAGCACCAUCUGUACACAAGAAAGUAUGAACAUAAAUGUUUGGAUAAUAAUAAAGAUUUGCAAGGCAC
ensembl:lncRNA